rnacentral:tmRNA from 1 species
GGGGAUGAUCGGCCUAGACAGGCGAUUCCCUCUUGCAAGUGCUAUGCCGAGAAUGCUCGAGAUCUCGUUAAACCUCGAGUACACAAGUACGUGCUAAAAACACUCUUGCAAAAGCAAAGUCAAUCGUCUCACCAUUUUUUGGUGUAGCAGACUUUGCUCCUGCUUACGCUAUCGCCUAAGCAGCAUUCGCGCUUCAUACGCCCUCUCGGAAGUCGCGGGUGACAUAAACCGAGGGCUCAUCGCUUUGAACUUUUUCGACAAAGCGAAACAACAAAGAAAAUCGGUUGUGUAUGAUUUAGAAUACUUUCUACAUACACUGCCUAAAUCUUCAUGAAGUAUUCUACGCAUAGUAGACUCUCGCAAGAACAUCGUCUGCACGGGGGUUCAAUUCCCCCCAUCUCCACAC